rnacentral:lncRNA from 1 species
GUUAUGUCGUGUACUGGACAUUCAGUACAGAAUCCGGAUUCUCUACAUCAACAGUUUGCAAGAUGCGAUUCAGAACUUAAGCCAACAACGUGCAAAGAUAGGCUGCAACAUUAUAUGAGUACCUGUCUGAGCUGUCUACUAUCUGCGUCAGUGCGAAGACUGACAAGACCAAGAAGCGAGGCUCUUAAAUUUUAAGUGAACUAUAAGUCGCAUCCCAUGGUCUAUGCGGCUUCUUGUUUAUGUAGUACAUAAACUACAUGAGCAAUGUCCCUAAGCUGUAGGUUUAUGUCCUAACUUAGCCGAUAACCUUUGUUGACUCACACCUUGACCCGUUUAACGACUGUAUAUUAAAAUACUGAUCACAG